rnacentral:rRNA from 1 species
UACGAAGGGGGCUAGCGUUGCUCGGAAUCACUGGGCGUAAAGCGCACGUAGGCGGACUCUUAAGUCGGUGGUGAAAUCCUGGAGCUCAACUCCAGAACUGCCUUCGAUACUGGGAGUCUCGAGUUCGGGAGAGGUGAGUGGAACUGCGAGUGUAGAGGUGAAAUUCGUAGAUAUCGGAAGAACACCAGUGGCGAAGGCGGCUCACUGGACUGGGUAUUGACGCUGAGG